rnacentral:lncRNA from 1 species
AUCAGAAUGCGCAUGUAAUGAAACAUGCAUUACUUGUCGUUGAGAAAUUUAUUGCUUUUCUCAAAUUAAGUACACGCUGUUGAGAACAAUAACAUAAUAUAAUCAUGGGUAAUAACACAGGCCGAGAAACUCACUCUGUCAUUAUUCCAAGAAGUAAAUAUUAUCUUUCUAGAUUGUGAAUUUCUUUCAGAAAAUGGAAAUGUGACCAAGAGCGAGUUUCGGCAGUACUACGUGAAUUUGUUGAAGAUACUCUUCCAACCAGUUUAAAAGGAUAGUCAGCAUUUCCGGUUGGACAAGUGUUUUUUCUAAGAAUAAUUAUAUAUAUAUAUAAAAAAUAUACUCAUAUUUGGUUAAUUAAAGGGUCCCUGUUCAAUUUGUAUAUGAAAUUUCGACCCACCAAUCAGUUAUAAUCAAAAAUACCCACUUAUCGGUUCCUAACACAUUAGGCUAGUUUCAUAGGAGUACCCCCACUCCCUCUAGACCAUUUGGGGAAGUGGUAAAAACAUAGUUGGAUGCCAAAAGACCCACUUUUCUCUUUCAUGACCCGAUAAUCGACUUCGGACACAGCUGUUAACUUUUCGAAUUAAAUUAGACCCUAUAAUUAACCAAGUUAAAAACUAUAUUUGGAACUUCAAGAAAACUUGAUACGAGUGAGUCUACGAGUUAAAUGUUACAUGGUUUACUCCUACAAUAAUCACUUUGCAAUACAACACGGGCUCCUUUGUAAUUCCACAUACCUAUACGUACACUGUUAAAAACAGGUUACUACAGGAAUCGUAGGAACGUCAUGCCGCGAGUCACGUGUUGUUUUGAGUAUUUGCAGUAGUACGACUGACUUUGGUCGUUUAGAGCUUUGCAGUCACAUUCAUCAACCAGUCUGCGACAAACUUGUUGAAGUUUGUCUUGGGUAGCUUUUCAGUAGUGGUAUGUUGUCUUGCUACUAGAGUUGACUGGCCUUACGUAGUCAUGAUUGAUCGUGGGACUUUCCAGUCAUCCAACGUACGACAAUACACAUUUGCACGACCAAUCGUGACCACUCGUGACUAGUGGAUCGUACACAAAUGUCUUAUGGUUUUGUAACCAGUUAUGCUAUCAGUCUGCUACAAGUCGCAGACUGGUCUUACUGUAUGACUGCUUGUCUGAUAUCGCAGAAAAACACACGACCUGUGUCGCACGACUGACAUGAUCGCAUGUAAUCGCAACUCGAAAAUGACGGUGGCAUUCAACAUACAUCUAUAAAUUACUAUACAGAUACUUAUAUAUAAAAAGUCAUGACAAACAAGCAUUAGGACUGAGGACAUUCGUGUUUUAUGGCAAGUCUUCCAUACUCUACAGCUAAAGUCUGUUAAGACAUUGUAUCAUUUUUUCUCCCCUAUGAGACAGAAGAUUCUGACUCGCAUCGCUCAUAGAAUUCAAAGACCCACCACAGAAUAACUAUAUUUUUGUAUUUCAAUGAUGUGCAUUCUUAUAUAAAGAGAAAUAUAAGUAUCUAGAUAUAAAUUUAACGGGACAUAUAUUAAGCCAUGACAAUGUGUUUUAUGUCAGAACAAUAUUUAUAAUGUCCAGACAUUUUAUUGAAUGCACAGUAUUAGAUGUAUCUAUUUAAGUUUAAACCAAACUUCUUCAGUUUUCUUAUCUCUGAUUUUAAAUUGCUCAAUUGCUUUUGUUUUCUAAACAUUUUAUGUAAUAUAUUUUUGGUUUGUUAUUGUUUUUCUCUUGUAGCAUUUAUUUUAUGAUUUCUUCAUUUCGACUACUGACGCCAAUUGCUCAAAUUACGAACACUCUUGUCCAGUCUUGAAUUUUCUUAAAAAUAUUUGGAAACGCUGGUAACAAGUAAAUUGUUUUAAAACUAAGAUGUUUUAAAGUUCUAUAAGGCAUUUAAUCAUAACAUCUUCUCUGUGUGAUCAGGUUUUCGGACAAUCGACUAAGCAUUUGUGAUAAUGAUAACGGAGUUAUCCAUAGCCCUGCGGGCUAUAACGGAAAUUUUACAAUGGCGGUUUUCAGUUCAAAAGAAAAAUAAAUGACUGAGGAGUAAUCAUUUGUAAAUAAUGAAUAAUUUUUCAUCCAGUUAGUACUUUAAGUUGUAAAAGGAAGUUAUCUGGUUUGAAAGUGGGACAAUAGUUCAGUCUUGUCUUUAACGAAGGAGGGGCUAAAGGUCCAUUUUGUGAUGUACGGUAGUUGGUGAUGAAAGCCAUGCAAUUCUGGAUUGUUUCUUAUAUCAUGACUUAAGACUUCAGGUCUUCUCUAUUAAAUAAUACGAUAAUCUUCACAAACCAAUUCAUUACAUUGAUUACUUUGUGGCAUUGAUACUAACACGUGCAAAAGUCUGUAUUAAUAUUACACCAACGCAAUUUUUAUCUUUGUAAAUAUAUGUACAUACUGUGCAUGACUGUGUUCUUUGUAAUUAUAUGUACAUAAUGUGCUUGACUGUGUUCUUUGUAAUUAUAUGUACAUAAUGUGCCUGACUGUGUUUCCUUUAAUAGAGUGUUUUGCUGUGUA